rnacentral:misc_RNA from 1 species
UCCGAGUUGACCCCGGCAGUCUCCUAUGAGUCCCCGCCAUGACGCGCUGGCAACAUAGAACGAGGGUUGCGCUCGUUGCGGGACUUAACCCAACAUCUCACGACACGAGCUGACGACAACCAUGCACCACCUGUGCACCAGUCCAAAGAAAGCCACAUCUCUGCAGCUGUCCGGUGCAUGUCAAGCCUUGGUAAGGUUCUUCGCGUUGCAUCGAAUUAAUCCGCAUGCUCCGCCGCUUGUGCGGGCCCCCGUCAAUUCCUUUGAGUUUUAGCCUUGCGGCCGUACUCCCCAGGCGGGGCACUUAAUGCGUUAGCUACGGCGCAGACAACGUGGAAUGUCGCCCACACCUAGUGCCCAACGUUUACGGCAUGGACUAC